UCUAAUGUAGGCACAAGCUGAUAAUCAAGAAAAGUGAAGCACCGGUAGAGAGGGUCAUAGAACUGAACCAAAAUACUCAAAAGUCCUUCAACCACCUCAAUAUAUAAUACAAAUAAGAGCUUCUCAUGACGUUGCUUGAAGUCCAAGGGAUCUAGUAUAAAAGAUGAAAAUUUCCUUAGCUCUUUCAAAUCAGGACAUAUGAAACUGUACUUCUUAGUGUUCCUUCGUCCAUAAUCCAU
rnacentral:lncRNA from 1 species